rnacentral:rRNA from 1 species
UACAGAGGUCCCGAGCGUUGUUCGGAUUCAUUGGGCGUAAAGGGUGCGUAGGUGGUGAGGCAAGUUCGGUGUGAAAUCUCCGGGCUUAACCCGGAAAUGGCAUUGAAAACUGCCUUGCUAGAGGGUUGGAAGGGAGACUGGAAUUCUUGGUGUAGCAGUGAAAUGCGUAGAGAUCGAGAGGAACACCAGUGGCGAAGGCGAGUCUCUGGACGACUCCUGACACUGAGGCACGAAAGCUGGGGGAGCAAACAGG